GAAGGCAGCAGGCGCGCAAAUUACCCACUCCCGGCACGGGGAGGUAGUGACGAAAAAUAACGAUACGGGACUCAUCCGAGGCCCCGUAAUCGGAAUGAAUACACUUUAAACCUUUUAAUGAGUAUCCAUUGGAGGGCAAGUCUGGUGCCAGCAGCCGCGGUAAUUCCAGCUCCAAUAGCGUAUAUUAAAGUUGUUGCGGUUAAAAAGCUCGUAGUUGGACUUGUGUCCCACGCUGUCGGUUCACCGUUCGUCGGUGUUAACUGGCAUGUCCGUGUGGACGUCCUGCCGGUGGAUGCGGCCGGCCGUGGGCCUCUGGUCUGCGUGUCGGCGGUCCGAGGGAAUCCCAUCGCGGUGCUCUUCACCGAGUGUCGAGGUGGGCCGGCACGUUUACUUUGAACAAAUUAGAGUGCUCAAAGCAGGCAAGGGUUCGCCUGAAUAUUGUGUGCAUGGAAUAAUGGAAUAGGACCUCGGUUCUAUUUUGUUGGUUUUCGGAACAUGAGGUAAUGAUUAAUAGGGACAAAUGGGGGCAUUCGUAUUGCGACGUUAGAGGUGAAAUUCUUGGAUCGUUGCAAGACGAACCUAAGCGAAAGCAUUUGCCAUAAGUGUUUUCAUUAAUCAAGAACGAAAGUUAGAGGUUCGAAGGCGAUCAGAUACCGCCCUAGUUCUAACCAUAAACGAUGCCAGCCAGCGAUCCGCCGAUGUUCCUCCGAUGACUCGGCGGGCAGCUUCCGGGAAACCAAAGCUUUUGGGUUCCGGGGGAAGUAUGGUUGCAAAGCUGAAACUUAAAGGAAUUGACGGAAGGGCACCACCAGGAGUGGAGCCUGCGGCUUAAUUUGACUCAACACGGGAAACCUCAUCAGGCCCGGACACCGGAAGGAUUGACAGAUUGAGAGCUCUUUCUUGAUUCGGUGGAUGGUGGUGCAUGGCCGUUCUUAGUUGGUGGAGCGAUUUGUCUGGGAUC
rnacentral:rRNA from 1 species